GAUGAACGCUGGCGGCGUGCCUAAUACAUGCAAGUCGAGCGAACAGACGAGGAGCUUGCUCCUCUGACGUUAGCGGCGGACGGGUGAGAAACACGUGGAUAACCUACCUAUAAGACUGGGAUAACUUCGGGAAACCGGAGCUAAUACCGGAUAAUAUAUUGAACCGCAUGGUUCAAUAGUGAAAGACGGUUUUGCUGUCACUUAUAGAUGGAUCCGCGCCGCAUUAGCUAGUUGGUAAGGUAACGGCUUACCAAGGCAACGAUGCGUAGCCGACCUGCGAGGGGGAUCGGCCGCACGGGAGCUGAGACGCGGUCCAGACUCCUACGGGAGGCAGCAGUAGGGAAUCUGCCGCAGUGGGCGAAAGCCUGACGGAGCAACGCCGCGUGAGUGAUGGAGGUCUUCGGAUCGUAAAACUCUGUUAUUAGGGAAGAACAAAUGUGUAAGUAACUAUGCACGUCUUGACGGUACCUAAUCAGAAAGCCACGGCUAACUACGUG
rnacentral:rRNA from 1 species